ACGGGUGAGUAACACGUGGAUAACCUACCUAUAAGACUGGGAUAACUUCGGGAAACCGGAGCUAAUACCGGAUAAUAUUUUGAACCGCAUGGUUCAAAGUGAAAGACGGUCUUGCUGUCACUUAUAGAUGGAUCCGCGCUGCAUUAGCUAGUUGGUAAGGUAACGGCUUACCAAGGCGACGAUGCGUAGCCGACCUGAGAGGGUGAUCGGCCACACUGGAACUGAGACACGGUCCAG
rnacentral:rRNA from 1 species